CGCGCGUCCUCAACGUCCCGCUGGCCCCGGGGGCUUUCGGGAAGGCCGCGGCCGAGCAGUCCCGUGCUGCGGCUUCCCGGGCGCGGGAGGCCCGAGUCCUCCGGCUCCGCGACUUAGAUCACUGAGAGUCUUCAGUUCCUCCCAUGUUUCACUAGAAAUAAACCCAGUCAUAGAAAUCUGAAAAAUUUUAUAAAAAACCCAGUUUGAAUUCUGUGGAGUGUACUUUUGUGUAUGAAUAGUUAUAUAAAAUACUGAGUUCUCAAAAAGAAUGCUAGUAAGUAUGGUACAUUGUGCAACAGGAAUGCUGUGGUAAAACAGGGUUAUUAGAUACUUGUGAUAACAGAAGGCUAUGUCUUGAUAAAUUGAUUCAUCCUUAAUUCUAGCAGACUUAAAAGAAGUA